GACGAACGCUGGCGGCGUGCCUAACACAUGCAAGUCGAACGGAGUUCUUGUGAAUGAAGCUUCGGCAGAUUUCACUUGAACUUAGUGGCGGACGGGUGAGUAACGCGUGAGGAACCUGCCUUCCAGAGGGGGACAACAGUUGGAAACGACUGCUAAUACCGCAUAAUGCAGCGUGGUCGCAUGACCGUGCUGCCAAAGAUUAUAUCGCUGGAAGAUGGCCUCGCGUCUGAUUAGAUAGUUGGUGAGGUAACGGCCCACCAAGUCUGCGAUCAGUAGCCGGACUGAGAGGUUGAACGGCCACAUUGGGACUGAGACACGGCCCAG
rnacentral:rRNA from 1 species